rnacentral:rRNA from 1 species
AUUGAACGCUGGCGGAAUGCUUUACACAUGCAAGUCGAACGGCAGCACGGACUUCGGUCUGGUGGCGAGUGGCGAACGGGUGAGUAAUAUAUCGGAACGUACCUUAUUGUGGGGGAUAACGCAGCGAAAGCUGUGCUAAUACCGCAUAAUCCCUAAGGGGGAAAGCGGGGGACCGUAAGGCCUCGCGCAAUUAGAGCGGCCGAUACCUGAUUAGCUAGUUGGUGAGGUAAAGGCUCACCAAGGCAACGAUCAGUAGCUGGUCUGAGAGGACGAUCAGCCACGCUGGGACUGAGGCACGGCCCAGACUCCUAAGGGAGGCAGCAGUGGGGAAUUUUGGACAAUGGGGGCAACCCUGAUCCAGCAAUGCCGCGUGAGUGAAGAAGGCCUUCGGGUUGCAAAGCUCUUUUGUCAGGGAAGAAACAGCAGCUCUAACACAGUUUGCGAAUGACGGUACCUGAAGAAUAAGCACCGGCUAACUACGUGCCAGCCGCCGCCGUAA